rnacentral:rRNA from 1 species
UACGUAGGGGGCGAGCGUUGUCCGGAUUUAUUGGGCGUAAAGAGCUCGUAGGCGGUUCGGUAAGUCGGACGUGAAAUCUCCACGCUCAACGUGGAGGGGCCGUUCGAUACUGUCGUGACUCGAGUCCGGUAGGGGAGUGUGGAAUUCCCGGUGUAGCGGUGAAAUGCGCAGAGAUCGGGAGGAACACCCGUAGCGAAGGCGGCACUCUGGGCCGGUACUGACGCUGAGGAGCGAAAGCGUGGGGAGCAAACAGG